rnacentral:snRNA from 1 species
GAUAAAGCAAAAGGGGUAAGAUACAAAGACAAUAAGAUCUCAAGGGUUGAUUUGACUGAUCUGGCUGGCUAAGUGGGUGUCCCCUUCCUUCCUCGCUACUCCAUGUGUGUCCCUUUCAAAACUGGGUGCGAGGUGGAAGAGGAUGACCUUUCCUAUAGAAGAGAACUGUUCUUUGGUCAAGGGUACAUGACCCUGCUAGAGUUCCCAAACAAGCUCCCAAGUUCCAUUUGUAGGAGAACGCAGGGUAGUCAAGCUUUGAGACUAUAGACCCAUCCAAAUGAGGCACUGCCUGGAUAGUCCGUCCUUCUUU